rnacentral:rRNA from 1 species
GAUCCUAGCUCAGGAUGAACGCUAGCUACAGGCUUAACACAUGCAAGUCGAGGGGCAGCGUGGUCUUAGCUUGCUAAGGGUGAUGGCGACCGGCGCACGGGUGAGUAACACGUAUCCAACCUGCCGUCUACUCUUGGCCAGCCUUCUGAAAGGAAGAUUAAUCCAGGAUGGCAUCAUGAGUUCACAUGUCCGCAUGAUUAAAGGUAUUUUCCGGUAGACGAUGGGG